UAUAUGCACAAUUUUGUGCGUAUAUCUAAAUCAGGUUUAAUGCGCAGUGGUAAGAUGAACGGAUAUGCGUUUUUAGUAUGUUUGAGCAGCUUGCUUCUUACUGUACUUGGGAUCGUGGAUGAAGGAGAGAAUUGGUCUAUGUGGUCGAUUUGGUCCAGUUGUUCUGCAUCGUGUGGAAGUGGAACACAAAGUAGAUCAAGAGAAUGUGGUAAUUAUCCAGUGCGAAUAGUUCACGGCUGCCCAGGCGGUUAUUAUGAUUCAAGGUCCUGUAACACAUUCACAU